rnacentral:ncRNA from 1 species
GUAACUUCGGGAUAAAGCUUGGCUCUGAUGAAAAUCUGAACCGAUUGUUACGCGGAGAGCCCAACUGUUUAAUAAAAACGUAGUGUCGCGCUGUGGUAGUAUAGCCAGUGAACGCGACAUGAAUCCUGCUCAGUGCUGUGUCUGUUAAUAUGGUUCAAGCCAACGAAGCACCGGUAAAUAGCUGGGGUAACUAUGACUCUUAUCAAAGUAGCGAAAUACCUCGUCACUUAAUUAGUGACCUGCAUGAACGGAGCUAUGAGGUUCUCACUGUCCCAAACUGUCUCUCAGCGAACCAACUGUAGUGGGAACGGUCACUAGAUAUCCAGCGGGGAAAGAAGACCCUGUAGAGCUUCACUUUGGUCUAGUCUUGUAUAGUUCCUGCGGGGGUGUAGACUAGGUGGGAGAGCAAUCGAUUCUGAAAAACCACUACCCUGUUUGGAAUUAUGCUUACCUAUCACAAGGAAUAGGACUAGAUAGAAAGUUUGGCUGGGGCGGCACACCUUCGAAAGAGCAGCGAAGGUGUCCUAAGUUGAGCUCAGUGAGGACAGAAAUCUCACGUUGAGGAUAAGGCCAAAAGCUCAAUUUACUGUGCCUUUUUGUACUAGGAUCAGUUACGAAAGUAAGGCCUAACGAUCCCUAAAUAGCCUCAGGUGCGUGAGGAUUGGGGUGACAGACAAGUUACCUCCGGGACAACUGGCUUGUGGCUGCUAAGAGAUCAAAUCAACGCAGCUUUUUGAUUCUUCGAUGUCGGCUCUUCCUAUCCUAGUGAUGUACAAGUUGCUAAGGGUCGGAUUGUUCACCCGUAUUAGGGAUCGUGAGCUGGGUUUAGACCGUCGUGAGCCAGGUUUGUUUUAUCCUACUGGAUAUAGCAUCAUGAUAGUAGAUUGAUUUAGUACGAGAGGAACUGUUGAAUAUGGCCUCUGGUUAGCGAUUAUC